CCCUUAGAUGUUCUGGGCCGCACGCGCGCUACCCUGACGAAGUCAGCGAGCAUGUCCUACGCCGACAGGUGCGGGGAAUCUUGUCAAACUUCGUCGUGAUGGGGAUUGAUUAUUGAAAUUCUUGAUCAUCAACGAGGAAUUCCUAGUAAGCGCAAGUCAGCAGCUUGCGUUGAUUACGUCCCUGCCCUUUGUACACACCGCCCGUCGCUACUACCGAUUGAAUGGUUUAGUGAGAUCUUCGGAUUGGCGCCACUGCGGCUCAGCAAUGGGCUCGGUGGAUGCCGAAAAGUUGAUCAAACUUGAUCAUUUAGAGGAAGUAAAAGUCGUAACA
rnacentral:rRNA from 1 species